ACAAUCAAAUGACAACCUAGGAUCAUUUCAUUUCAGAGUUAAAACUAAAAUGGUAGCUUGUUCAUAGAACUCAUGUCACAAACUAUCUAUCAAACUCUGCAUGAAAGUUUACAUCACUAGCAACAGACCCCAUUACCGGAUUUGAAUUGGCCGAUCCAGAUUCCAACAACUCCUGGUGAGCAGCUUGGUUUCCAGACGCAAUCGCUUUGAAUUCCCUCUUCAACUUAGUCA
rnacentral:lncRNA from 1 species